rnacentral:rRNA from 1 species
GAUGAACGCUGGCGGCGUGCCUAAUACAUGCAAGUCGAGCGAACGGACGAGAAGCUUGCUUCUCUGAUGUUAGCGGCGGACGGGUGAGUAACACGUGGAUAACCUACCUAUAAGACUGGGAUAACUUCGGGAAACCGGAGCUAAUACCGGAUAAUAUUUUGAACCGCAUGGUUCAAAAGUAAAAGACGGUCUUGCUGUCACUUAUAGAUGGAUCCGCGCUGCAUUAGCUAGUUGGUAAGGUAACGGCUUACCAAGGCAACGAUGCAUAGCCGACCUGAGAGGGUGAUCGGCCACACUGGAACUGAGACACGGUCCAGACUCCUACGGGAGGCAGCAGUAGGGAAUCUUCCGCAAUGGGCGAAAGCCUGACGGAGCAACGCCGCGUGAGUGAUGAAGGUCUUCGGAUCGUAAAACUCUGUUAUUAGGGAAGAAUAUAUGUGUAAGUAACUGUGCACAUCUUGACGGUACCUAAUCAGAAAGCCACGGCUAACUACGUGCCAGCAGCCGCGGUAAUACGUAGGUGGCAAGCGUUAUCCGGAAUUAUUGGGCGUAAAGCGCGCGUAGGCGGUUUUUUAAGUCUGAUGUGAAAGCCCACGGCUCAACCGUGGAGGGUCAUUGGAAACUGGAAAACUUGAGUGCAGAAGAGGAAAGUGGAAUUCCAUGUGUAGCGGUGAAAUGCGCAGAGAUAUGGAGGAACACCAGUGGCGAAGGCGACUUUCUGGUCUGUAACUGACGCUGAUGUGCGAAAGCGUGGGGAUCAAACAGGAUUAGAUACCCUGGUAGUCCACGCCGUAAACGAUGAGUGCUAAGUGUUAGGGGGUUUCCGCCCCUUAGUGCUGCAGCUAACGCAUUAAGCACUCCGCCUGGGGAGUACGACCGCAAGGUUGAAACUCAAAGGAAUUGACGGGGACCCGCACAAGCGGUGGAGCAUGUGGUUUAAUUCGAAGCAACGCGAAGAACCUUACCAAAUCUUGACAUCCUUUGACAACUCUAGAGAUAGAGCCUUCCCCUUCGGGGGACAAAGUGACAGGUGGUGCAUGGUUGUCGUCAGCUCGUGUCGUGAGAUGUUGGGUUAAGUCCCGCAACGAGCGCAACCCUUAAGCUUAGUUGCCAUCAUUAAGUUGGGCACUCUAAGUUGACUGCCGGUGACAAACCGGAGGAAGGUGGGGAUGACGUCAAACCAUCAUGCCCCUUAUGAUUUGGGCUACACACGUGCUACAAUGGACAAUACAAAGGGCAGCGAAACCGCGAGGUCAAGCAAAUCCCAUAAAGUUGUUCUCAGUUCGGAUUGUAGUCUGCAACUCGACUACAUGAAGCUGGAAUCGCUAGUAAUCGUAGAUCAGCAUGCUACGGUGAAUACGUUCCCGGGUCU